UUCUCUAUUGAUUUCUCCGGAGGUAAGCUGUGAUGACCUCAAAACAUAGCUCCACUCCCUGCCACCACUGCGGACCCUGCAAACGCCCUUGGCCGGUUGGCCUGUUCGGUGUGUUUGACCCUUCUGACAUCUGUUGUCUUCCCAGGAAGGAGAGCAUAUAAUUUACAGUAAAAACACAGGAAGCUGAAUGAUUUCCUCUGAGGAAAGUACCUGACAAAGAGGUGAACGAGUAAAAUCAUCGGGCCCUUUGACUUCAUCGCUACCCAUGUAUCCUCAAUGGCUUCAGGCACAGAUGCUAUCUUGCAACGAGACGCCUUUGAAGUGGUUUUGCCAGUGCGUGGCAGGUGGGAGUCUUCUGAGAAGCCAAGUGAGGGAAAUAAAACAUCAGCAAUACGGAAUCUGACCCACGCCUCCUAUAUUGCAAGACCCCUUUGAAAAGCUCAGCCCAAACUUUUGCCAUUUCUCAGGUCCUGAAGAGGGAUUUUCACCCUAAAAAAACCUUAUCCUCAAUGCCACCUAAAAAGGCACAAGUGAGUAACUCUUCAGAUAUCAUCUCACUGAGACCAUGAG